rnacentral:tmRNA from 1 species
GGGGAUGACAUGGCUUCGACGUGGGUAGCAAAACCUGAGGUGCAUGCAGAGGUGCAAAGUUCCUCUUAAAACCGUUUGCAAAACUUAUAGUUGCCAACGACGACAACUACGCUUUAGCAGCUUAA